rnacentral:rRNA from 1 species
ACGAACGCUGGCGGCGUGCCUAAUACAUGCAAGUCGAACGAGCUCUCCUAAAUUGAUUUUAUGCUUGCAUAAAUGAUUUUUAGAUUCGGAGCGAGUGGCGAACUGGUGAGUAACACGUGGGUAACCUGCCCCGAAGCGGGGGAUAACAUUUGGAAACAAAUGCUAAUACCGCAUAAUUAGUUGGAACCGCAUGGUUCCAACUUGAAAGAUGGCUCUGCUAUCACUUUGGGAUGGACCCGCGCCGUAUUAGUUAGUUGGUGAGAUAAAAGCCCACCAAGACGAUGAUACGUAGCCGACCUGAGAGGGUAAUCGGCCACAUUGGGACUGAGACACGGCCCAGACUCCUACGGGAGGCAGCAGUAGGGAAUCUUCCACAAUGGACGAAAGUCUGAUGGAGCAACGCCGCGUGAGUGAUGAAGGUUUUCGGAUCGUAAAACUCUGUUGUUAAAGAAGAACAAGUGUUAGAGUAACUGUUAACACUUUGACGGUAUUUAACCAGAAAGCCACGGCUAACUACGUGCCAGCAGCCGCGGUAAUACGUAGGUGGCAAGCGUUGUCCGGAUUUAUUGGGCGUAAAGCGAGCGCAGGCGGUUUUGUAAGUCUGCUGUGAAAGCCCUCAGCUCAACUGAGGAAGUGCAGUGGAAACUACAAAACUUGAGUACAGAAGAGGAAAGUGGAACUCCAUGUGUAGCGGUGAAAUGCGUAGAUAUAUGGAAGAACACCAGUGGCGAAGGCGGCUUUCUGGUCUGUUACUGACGCUGAGGCUCGAAAGCAUGGGUAGCGAACAGGAUUAGAUACCCUGGUAGUCCAUGCCGUAAACGAUGAAUACUAGGUGUUGGAGGGUUCCGCCCUUCAGUGCCGCAGCUAACGCAUUAAGUAUUCCGCCUGGGGAGUACGACCGCAAGGUUGAAACUCAAAGGAAUUGACGGGGGCCCGCACAAGUGGUGGAGCAUGUGGUUUAAUUCGAUGCUACGCGAAGAACCUUACCAGCUCUUGACAUCUUCUGCCAACCCAAGAGAUUGGGCGUUCCCUUCGGGGACAGAAUGACAGGUGGUGCAUGGUUGUCGUCAGCUCGUGUCGUGAGAUGUUGGGUUAAGUCCCGCAACGAGCGCAACCCUUAUUAUUAGUUGCCAGCAUUUAGUUGGGCACUCUAGUGAGACUGCCGGUGAUAAACCGGAGGAAGGUGGGGACGACGUCAAAUCAUCAUGCCCCUUAUGAGCUGGGCUACACACGUGCUACAAUGGAUGGUACAACGAGUCGCGAAACCGCGAGGUCAAGCUAAUCUCUUAAAGCCAUUCUCAGUUCGGAUUGCAGGCUGCAACUCGCCUGCAUGAAGUUGGAAUCACUAGUAAUCGUGGAUCAGCAUGCCACGGUGAAUACGUUCCCGGGCCUUGUACACACCGC